rnacentral:tRNA from 1 species
GGAGAUUUGGCUCAGUGGUAGAGCGCUUGCCUAGCAAGCGCAAGGCCCUGGGUUCGGUCCCCAGCUCUG